CUGACACACAGAGCUGAGCUGGCAGCUGCAGGAGAGGAGGAAGAGGAGGAAGAGGAGAAGAGGAUCCCGGCAUGUCCGUUCUGAGCAACCUUCAGAGAAGACCCAGCCUGGAGACAAAAGACACGAGGAAAACCUUUGCACACAGGCAUGUGUUCCUGUUCCAUGGGUUGAACUGAUUGUACCAGUUACAAGUGGCAGAAGAGGCUGGCCAAGCUGUCCUCAGAGCUGUCUGGCACACUGCUCUCUGCAGCAGAGCCCUACCUGCUUUUCAUGGUGGUACAGAGAUGCCAGCGUGUAGGGCAGGAUCUGGAGUGCAGAGAAGGUGAAGCCCGUCAGAGCAGCUGAGAUGGUGACAACGAUGACACUGUGGGAAAGGCACAUGACAAAGGCAGCCACGGGGAAGAACACCACGCUGGCCAGGUAGACCACCCGUGUCCCAAACUGCUUCACCAUCCGGUCCAUGAUUGUCGAGAAGAAGAUGGAAGUGACACACUGCAGGAAGAGGCCCAAGCUGCCCAUCCGGACACCUGCAGGGAGGCAGAGGUGGUGACAGACACUGUCCUGACUGCACCCAGGCCUCCCACAGUCCUGACACCUCGGGGCCUCCUUCCCUCUCCUUUGGGACCCAGCUCCACAGGGUCCAUGCAGAGUGUGGCACAGCCUCAGACAGUCCUGACAGCCACAGAGCAGCAUCACCCAAUACAUCCCACCCUCCACCAGCAGCAUACAUGUGCUUCUGGGCACCUUCCUACUCUUGACCCAGGAUCUGUCACCUGCUUGUGAACAAGGAUCUGUUAUCAUCCGAUGCCAAAACCAGCAACUGAACAAAAGGAACAAGGAAUUGUGCUUAAGCCAAGAGAAACAACAAAUCAAUUCCGAGAGGCUGGUUCACCUGGCAGCCAGGGAGGAGGCGGGUCCUGGGGGCAGGAGCAAAGCAGCACUGCUGGACAAAGGCAGCCAGGAGCAGAGGGCUCCCUGCCACCUGCACAGAGCUUUUUCAGCAGGCAACCAAAGCAGAAAGGACUGCACCUCCCACAGUGAUCCUGGUGCCUCGUGCCCCCUCUCUCUCCUCUCCCUCUGAAGCAGCCAGCAGGACAGGGAGGAAGCCAGGCAGCCUGCCUCUGCGGAGCACAAGUCACCAAGCAGCACAACAGGGAGCAAGGAGAAGCAGCCGGGAUGAAGCCAGGGAAAGAGGAUUCUGAGAGCCCACUCCUCCAAAGACCAGCAGGUUGCAUUCACACAUUUCCCCCACGGAGUUUGUUCUCUCUUCACAUGCUACAGAAAAAGUUUGGACAAGUGCUCUCCUCUGCUCGAUGUGGUACAGAGAAGCAGCAAGGCCCUGCCUGACAAAACCCAUGACAGGAACUUGAGGAGAGCACCAAGGAGUGCACAGACAGACAUGCCAGUGGGAACAGGACUGCAUCUACCCCUGGUGUCAGAUGCACAGACUCCUUUACAGGCAGCAGCACCACAGCAGGAGUUCACUUCCCACUUCCUUCCUCUCAGCUAGCACAGACGUUGCCCGUGUGCCCUCACUAACAGACCCUGAAUCCCACCUUUGGCUUUAGGAGAAACAAACCCUGAGGCACCUGAAGGAAGUGGACCAUGUGCAGGGCACUGAUAGGCACGCACAAGCAAAGACUGAAAGAAGUCUCUCCUCCUUCCCAUCUCCUCAAAUCUUCCCAAUAGGAUCUUACAAGUAAUCACACCCAAACAGUGAUUUGACAGAAUGAAGAUUGAGGAAUGGACAUUUUAAAAAUAAA